rnacentral:misc_RNA from 1 species
AAGUCGUAACAAGGUUUCCGUAGGUGAACCUGCGGAAGGAUCAUUAUUGAAUAAACCUGAUGUGACUGUUAGCUGGCUUUUCGAAGCAUGUGCUCGUCCAUCAUCUUUAUCUCUCCACCUGUGCACAUUUUGUAGUCUUGGAUACCUCUCGAGGAAACUCGGAUUUGAGGAUCGCCGUGCUGUACAAGUCGGCUUUUCUUUCAUUUCCAAGACUAUGUUUUUAUAUACACCAAAGUAUGUUUAUAGAAUGUCAUCAAUGGGAACUUGUUUCCUAUAAAAUUAUACAACUUUCAGCAACGGAUCUCUUGGCUCUC